rnacentral:rRNA from 1 species
GACGAACGCUGGCGGCGUGCCUAAUACAUGCAAGUAGGACGCAGUUGCGAACGGGUGAGUAACGCGUAGGUAACUACCUAUUAGAGGGGGAUAACUCUUAGAAACGAUAGCUAAUACCGCAUAAUAGUAGAUGGAUCUGCGUUGUAUUAGCUAGUAGGUAGGGUAAAGGCCUACAUAGGCAAAUGUACAUAGCCGCCCGGAGAGGGUGAUCGGCCACCCGGGGACGUGUACACGGCCCAGACCCCUACGGGAGGCAGCAGUAGGGAAUCUUCGGCAAUGGGGGGAACCCUGACCGAGCCACGCCGCGUGAGUGAAGAAGGUUUUCGGAUCGUAAAGCUCUGUUGUUAAGGAAGCGGUACUUAACCAGAAAGGGACGGCUAACUACGUGCCAGCAGCCGCGGUAAUUC